CCUACGGGGGGCAGCAGUGGGGAAUAUUGCACAAUGGGGGAAACCCUGAUGCAGCGACGCCGCGUGAGUGAAGAAGUAAUUCGUUAUGUAAAGCUCUAUCAGCAGGGAAGAAAAUGACGGUACCUGAGUAAGAAGCCCCGGCUAACUACGUGCCAGCAGCCGCGGUACUACGUAGGGGGCAAGCGUUAUCCGGAUUUACUGGUGGUAAAGGGAGCGUAGACGGCAGUGCAAGUCUGGAGUGAAAGGCGGGGGCUCAACCCCCGGACUGCGCUGGAAACUGUCCGGCUGGAGUGCAGGAGAGGUAAGUGGAAUUCCUAGUGUAGCGGUGAAAGGCGUAGAUAUUAGGAGGAACACCAGUGGCGAAGGCGGCUUACUGGACUGUAACUGACGUUGAGGCUCGAAAGCGUGGGGAGCAAACAGGAUUAGAUACCCCAGUAGUC
rnacentral:rRNA from 1 species